rnacentral:rRNA from 1 species
AUCUUAAACACUUGUUACAUGGCACCUGAUACUUUAUUACAUUCUAGUGGCGACGGGUGAGUAACACGUUGGAACCUGCCCCAAAGUGAGGAAUAAGCCACCGAAAGGUGGUCUAAUACUUCAUAAUAUCCAUCUCGUAUGGAUUAAAGCUUUAUGCGCUUUGGGAGGGGCCUGCGUAACAUUAGCUAGUUGGUGAGGGUUAAAAAGCUCACCAAGGCUUCGAUGUUUAACUGGUUUGAGAGGAUGACCAGUCACACUGGGACUGAGAUACGGCCCAGACUCCUACGGGAGGCAGCAGUAAGGAAUCUUCCACAAUGGGGCAACCCUGAUGGAGCAAUACCGCGUGCAGGAUGAAGCGUUUCGGCGUGUAAACUGCUUUUAUCACCGAAGAUUAUGACUGUAGGUGAAGAAUAAGGACCGGCUAACUACGUG